rnacentral:rRNA from 1 species
UACGUAGGGAGCAAGCGUUGUCCGGAAUCAUUGGGCGUAAAGCGCGCGUAGGUGGCCUCAUAAGUCCGCUGUGAAAGUCAAAGGCUCAACCUUUGAAAGCCGGUGGAUACUGUGAGGCUAGAGUACGGAAGAGGCGAGUGGAAUUCCUGGUGUAGCGGUGGAAUGCGCAGAUAUCAGGAGGAACACCAAUAGCGAAGGCAGUUCGCUGGGACGUUACUGACACUGAGGCGCGAAAGCGUGGGGAGCGAACAGG